CGAACAGAUAAGGAGCUUGCUCCUUUGACGUUAGCGGCGGACGGGUGAGUAACACGUGGAUAACCUACCUAUAAGACUGGGAUAACUUCGGGAAACCGGAGCUAAUACCGGAUAAGAUUUUGAACCGCAUGGUUCAAUAGUGAAAGACGGCCUUGCUGUCACUUAUAGAUGGAUCCGCGCCGUAUUAGCUAGUUGGUAAGGUAACGGCUUACCAAGGCAACGAUACGUAGCCGACCUGAGAGGGUGAUCGGCCACACUGGAACUGAGACACGGUCCAGACUCCUACGGGAGGCAGCAGUAGGGAAUCUUCCGCAAUGGGCGAAAGCCUGACGGAGCAACGCCGCGUGAGUGAUGAAGGUCUUCGGAUCGUAAAACUCUGUUAUCAGGGAAGAACAAACGUGUAAGUAACUGUGCACGUCUUGACGGUACCUGAUCAGAAAGCCACG
rnacentral:rRNA from 1 species